rnacentral:rRNA from 1 species
AGCUCCAAUAGCGUAUAUUAAAAUUGUUGCAGUUAAAAAGCUCGUAGUUGGAUUUCUGGUGGGAGCGAUCGGUCCGGCUCAUUGAGUUGGUACUUGUAUUGUCUCCUACCAUCUUUCAGGAAAACCUGUCUGGCAUUAAGUUGUCGGACAGCGGGAUCUUGAUCCUUUACUGUGAAAAAAUUAGAGUGUUCAAAGCAGGCUUACGCCGUUGAAUAUAUUAGCAUGGAAUAAUAAGAUAGGACUAUGGCUCUAUUUUGUUGGUUUGUGCGCCAUGGUAAUGAUUAAAAGGGACAGUUGGGGGUAUUCGUAUUCCAUUGUCAGAGGUGAAAUUCUUGGAUUUAUGGAAG